rnacentral:lncRNA from 1 species
CUGAACACAGUCCGGAAUAUUACGGCCGGACCAGGGAAUCGGGAUUCCAGCAUCACCACCAGGAGCUGUACCCACCACCGCCUCCGCGCCCUAGCUACCCUGAGCGUCAGUAUAGCUGCACCAGUCUCCAGGGGCCCGGCAAUUCGCGAGCCCACGGGCCGGCCCAGGCGGGCCACCACCACCCUGAGAAAUCGCAGCCGCUCUGCGAGCCGGCGCCUCUCUCAGGCGCCUCUGCCUCCCCGUCCCCAGCCCCGCCAGCCUGCAGCCAGCCAGCCCCUGACCAUCCCUCCAGCGCCGCCAGCAAGCAGCCCAUAGUCUACCCUUGGAUGAAAAAAAUUCACGUUAGCACGGGUAGGCAACUUUGCUUUUUGCCCCCCUCCCUUCCCGGGCGCUCCCCACCCUCCCUGGCCCCCUCUGGC